rnacentral:rRNA from 1 species
UACGUAGGGGGCAAGCGUUGUCCGGAUUUAUUGGGCGUAAAGAGCUCGUAGGUGGUUCGGUAAGUCGGAUGUGAAAUCUCCAGGCUCAACCUGGAGGGCCAUUCGAUACUGCCGUGACUAGAGGUCGGUAGGGGAGUGUGGAAUUCCUGGUGGAGCGGUGAAAUGCGCAGAUAUCAGGAGGAACACCCGUAGCGAAGGCGGCACUCUGGGCCGAUACUGACACUGAGGAGCGAAAGCGUGGGGAGCGAACAGG